AUUUUCGGCAAUGGGGGGAACCCUGACCGAGCAACGCAGCGUGAAGGAUGACUGCCCUAUGGGUUGUAAACUUCUUUUAUAAAGGAAUAAAGUCGGGUAUGUAUACCCGUUUGCAUGUACUUUAUGAAUAAGGAUCGGCUAACUCCGUGCCAGCAGCCGCGGUAAUACGGAGGAUCCGAGCGUUAUCCGGAUUUAUUGGGUUUAAAGGGAGCGUAGAUGGAUGUUUAAGUCAGUUGUGAAAGUUUGCGGCUCAACCGUAAAAUUGCAGUUGAUACUGGAUAUCUUGAGUGCAGUUGAGGCAGGCGGAAUUCGUGGUGUAGCGGUGAAAUGCUUAGAUAUCACGAAGAACUCCGAUUGCGAAGGCAGCCUGCUAAGCUGCAACUGACAUUGAGGCUCGAAAGUGUGGGUAUCAAA
rnacentral:rRNA from 1 species